rnacentral:rRNA from 1 species
AUUGAACGCUGGCGGCAUGCCUUACACAUGCAAGUCGAACGGCAGCACGGGAGCAAUCCUGGUGGCGAGUGGCGAACGGGUGAGUAAUGCAUCGGAACGUGCCAUUGAGUGGGGGAUAACGUAGCGAAAGUUACGCUAAUACCGCAUAUUCUGUGCGCAGGAAAGCAGGGGAUCGCAAGACCUUGCGCUCUUUGAGCGGCCGAUGUCAGAUUAGCUAGUUGGUGGGGUAAAGGCUCACCAAGGCGACGAUCUGUAGCGGGUCUGAGAGGAUGAUCCGCCACACUGGGACUGAGACACGGCCCAGACUCCUACGGGAGGCAGCAGUGGGGAAUUUUGGACAAUGGGGGCAACCCUGAUCCAGCCAUGCCGCGUGAGUGAAGAAGGCCUUCGGGUUGUAAAGCUCUUUCGGCCGGGAAGAAAUCGCACAGGUUAAUACCCUGUGUGGAUGACGGUACCGGACUAAGAAGCACCGGCUAACUACGUG